AGAGUUUGAUCAUGGCUCAGGAUGAACGCUAGCGACAGGCUUAACACAUGCAAGGUCGGGGGGCAGCAUGAUUUGUAGCAAUACAGAUUGAUUGGCGACCGGCGCACGGGUGAGUAACGCGUAUGCAACUUACCUAUCAGGAGGGGGAUAGCCCGGCGAAAGUCGGAUUAAUACCCCAUAAAACAGGGGUCCCGCAUGGGAAUAUUUGUUAAAGAUUCAUCGCUGAUAGAUAGGCAUGCGUUCCAUUAGGCAGUUGGCGGGGUAACGGCCCACCAAACCGACGAUGGAUAGGGGUUCUGAGAGGAAGGUCCCCCACAUUGGUACUGAGACACGGACCAAACUCCUACGGGAGGCAGCA
rnacentral:rRNA from 1 species